rnacentral:tRNA from 1 species
GGGCCCGUAGCUCAGUUGGUUAGAGCCGUCGACUCAUAAUCGACUGGUCGCCAGUUCAAGUCCGGCCGGGCCCACCA